GCUGGUGCUCGCUGAGCUGGGCCGUCUCAGCUGCAGAGCGUGCGGCACGUCGGGACGGGCGUGGGGUGUGCGGAUCGAGAGCUCGGUUCUGGAGCCACGCUUGCCUGCUUUCGGACGGCUGGGGAGGAGAAAGCGAACGGUUAUGCAAAGCUCCAUGCACCGCACGCCUUUCCCUCUCCUCUCCUUUGGAGGAAAGUUGGCGUCUGGGACUGGUGAGAGAGGUGGAGGUGACCUCAGGCUUUACUAAGGUGCGAGAAGCCGGUUGAGGGGCGAUUUCGGAAGUAGGCUGGUGAGGGGCGAGGAGGCCAGUUUGCCGAGUCAAAGUCUGACCCCCUGGGCCUGACGCGCCAAACUCGGGGGCUCCGGAGAAGCCGCGGACGCCGCUCUGCACCUGUUGUCGCCGUCACUCAUCCUCGCUGAGCGGGCGGGGCUGCGCGGGCGGCUUGGCCGAGACUCGCCGCCGCAGCCGUGUCCAGGCUCCGGCGCCCGCCCCAGGCCCGCGCCGGCUGAGCACCGCGGGACCUCCGCUCAGCCUCUGGAGCCGGCCGGUGAGGGAGCCACCCGCGCGCCCGAGGGAAACCCUUGCAAUGGAUACUGCUGUGUUCAUCAUGUUACAGAUUGACUUCAGCUCUACUCCAUGUCAUUUUCAAGAUCCACCCUCUAUCUGAUGAACAAUUAACCUUGUGGCAAAGGAAAAAAGA